UCUGUUCAGUGUCGGUCAAAUUCGAUGUUUUGAAUCACUCUAGCGCGUGCUAAAUACUAAAUGACGCAAUGUUUUGGACUGGUCUUCAUUUUCUUCGAUACAGGCACAACCGAGCGUAAAUAUUAAGCGAGAAAGUCUAGUGGAACGAUGCAGGGUUCAUUGGGUUUGUUUACAAAAAUUCAAGCAUCCGGUUAAGAAGACGACAAAUAAGAAUGGUAUUAAGUUGGUAGAAUGGAACUCCUUCCUGAUUCCUGCACAUGUAAGUUACCAGAUACUUUUGAGGGACCAAUUUAAGGGCAAACAGACAAACGUUUUGAUGCAAAGAAAGCAUUGGAUUUGAAAGUUCCCAUGGAGAAGAAAAAUGGAG